CAAAGAGGCUCAAUCCAGGCCCUACAUGGUGUCUCUCCAAGUAGGGACACAGCACUUCUGUGGUGGCUUCCUUGUGAGUGAACAAUUCGUCAUGACGGCUGCGCAGUGCAAGGAAAAGGGAAAACCAUGGACAGAUGUGACAGCAGUGAUAGGAGCUCAUAAUCUAAAGACCAACAGCUUUCAGCGCAUACAACUGAUGGAUUCCUACAGCCACCCAGACUUUAAAAUGGACCCAAAAUACCCAGCAAAAUGACAUCAUGCUACUGAAGCUAGCCAAGCGAGUUGUAAGCAACACAAUUCGCAUCCCAGAAAAAGACGAAGACUUUACGCAAAACACCGCUUGCAGUAUAGCUGGUUGGGGAAGCAUAAGAAAUAAUGGACCUACAAAUGAUGUUUUUUGGAGGCAGAUGUCACAAUGUUAAGCAGCGAGAACUGCAAACAUUGGUGGAACUUCAACAACAUACUGUGUACAGACCGUCAUCAUGGUGGAUUUUGCACGGGAGACUCUGGAGGUCCUUUGGUGUGUAAUAAUACUGCAGUUGGAGUCAUUGCCUUCUAUGAAAAGACCUGCAUAAAUCCCCCAAGACCAUAUGGCUACACAAAGAUUUCUGCAUUCCUGCCCUGGAUAGAAAAAAUAAUGGGUAAAAUAAAAUAAUUAGGAUUGUGAAUGGUUCAUUGGGGCUGACUUGACCUUACAAGUGUGGUUCAUGAUUCACAAUAAAUAAUUACACUGUGAA